rnacentral:tRNA from 1 species
GCGCCCGUAGCUCAGUGGAGAGAGCAGCCGCCUUCUAAGCGGUAGGUCGGGGGUUCGAAUCCUCCCGGGCGCGCCA